AUUCAMAAUGGGGGAAACCCUGAUGGUGCGACGCCGCGUGGGGGAUGAAGGGCUUCGGUUCGUAAACCCCUGUAAUCUGUAAGUAAUUGUAUCCGGUCAACAGCCGGAAGCUUGAUAGUAGCAGAAGARGAAGGGACGGCUAACUCCGUGCCAGCAGCCGCGGUAAUACGGAGGUCCCAAGCAUUGUUCGGAUUCACUGGGCGUAAAGGGUGCGUAGGCGGUACAGAAAGUGUGAUGUGAAAGCUCCAGGCUCAACCCGGAAAUAGCAUUGGAUACUACUGAACUAGAGGAUCGGAGAGGAGACUGGAAUUCUUGGUGUAGCAGUGAAAUGCGUAGAUAUCAAGAGGAACACCGGUGGCGAAGGCGAGUCUCUGGACGAUUCCUGACGCUGAGGCACGAAGGCCAGGGGAGCAAACAGGAUUAGAUACCCUGGUAGUCCUGGCAGUAAACGGUGCGCGCUUGCUGUAGGCGGAUUCGACCCCGUCUGUGGCGGAGUAACGCGUUAAGCGCGCCGCCUGGGGAGUACGGUCGCAAGAUUAAAACUCAAAGAAAUUUACGGGGGCCUGCACAAGCGGUGGAGUAUGUGGCUUAAUUCGAUGCAACGCGAAGAUCCUUACCUGGGUUUUACAUGCGUCUCUAAACCGGUGAAAGCCGGCGAGUCUUCGGACAAUUUGUACAGGUGCUGCAUGGCUGUCGUCAGCUCGUGUCGUGAGAUGUUGGGUUAAGUCCCGCAACGAGUGCAACCUUCAUGUCCUGUUGCCACUUCCUAGCGGGGAAAGCACUCUGGACAGACCGCCCUAUUUAAAUAGGGAGGAAGGUGGGGAUGACGUCAAGUCAGUAUGGCCCUUACGCCCAGGGCUGCACACGUACUACAAUGCCCGGUACAAAGGGUCGCCAAGCCGCAAGGUGGAGUUWAUUCYUUUWWUCCGGGCCCAGUUUAGAUUGGAGUCUGCAACUCGACUCCAUGAAGCCGGAAUCGCU
rnacentral:rRNA from 1 species